AUUGAACGCUAGCGGGAUGCCUUACACAUGCAAGUCGAACGGAGUGGCGAACGGGUGAGUCAUGUAUCGGAACGUGCCCAGUAGCGGGGGAUAACUACGCGAAAGCGUAGCUAAUACCGCAUACUAUUUGAGCGGCCGAUAUCGGAUUAGCUAGUUGGUGGGGUAACGGUCCACCAAGGCGAAGAUCCGUAGCUGGUCUGAGAGGACGAACAGCCAGACUGGUACUGAGACAAGGCCCAGAGACCUACGGGAGGCAUGAGUGGGGAAUUUUGGACAAUGGGAAAAAGCCUGAUCCAGCCAUGCCGAGUGUGCGAAGAAGGACUUCGGGUUGUAAAGCACUUUUGGCAGGGAGGCGGUACCAGCAGAAUAAGCACCGGCUAACUACGUGCCAGCAGCAGCGGUAAUAC
rnacentral:rRNA from 1 species